rnacentral:rRNA from 1 species
UACGUAGGGGGCAAGCGUUGUCCGGAAUCAUUGGGCGUAAAGAGCGUGUAGGUGGCUCGGUAAGUCCGCUUGUGAAAGUCCAGGGCUCAACCCUGGAAAAGCCGGUGGAAACUGUCGAGCUCGAGUCCGGAAGAGGCGAGUGGAAUUCCUGGUGUAGCGGUGAAAUGCGGCAGAUAUCAGGAGGAACACCAAUGGCGAAGGCAGCUCGCUGGGACGGUACUGACACUGAG